GAUGAACGCUGGCGGCGUGCCUAAUACAUGCAAGUCGAGCGAACAGACGAGGAGCUUGCUCCUCUGACGUUAGCGGCGGAAGGGUGAGUAACACGUGGAUAACCUACCUAUAAGACUGGGAUAACGUCGGGAAACCGGAGCUAAUACCGGAUAAUAUAUUGAACCGCAUGGUUCAAUAGUGAAAGACGGUUUUGCUGUCACUUAUAGAUGGAUCCGCGCCGCAUUAGCUAGUUGGUAAGGUAACGGCUUACCAAGGCGACGAUGAGUAGCCGACCUGAGAGGGUGAUCGGCCACACUGGAACUGAGACACGGUCCAGACUCCUACGGGAGGCAGCAGUAGGGAAUCUUCCGCAAUGGGCGAAAGCCUGACGGAGCAACGCCGCGUGAGUGAUGAAGGUCUUCGGAUCGUAAAACUCUGUUAUUAGGGAAGAACAAAUGUGUAAGUAACUAUGCACGUCUUGACGGUACCUAAUCAGAAAGCCACGGCUAACUACGUG
rnacentral:rRNA from 1 species